AGUCACCGGGGUGCUAGCUCCCUUGCAGACUUUCUUUUUGAUGGCUGAUCUGAUACCUUCUUUGAAUCUCUUGGACUCCUCCAGAGAUGAAGAAGAAGGCUUCUAAGAGAAUUAAGAAGUGGUGGAAGAAGAUGGAAAAGAGAAACUCUUUUCUCUUUUUUAUUUCUUCCCAAACCCAACACACAAACCCUAGAAACCCU
rnacentral:lncRNA from 1 species